rnacentral:rRNA from 1 species
AUGGCUCAGGAUGAACGCUGGCGGCGUGCCUAACACAUGCAAGUCGAACGAAGCAUACGGACUGGAGAUUCGUCGAAGGACUGUAUGACUUAGUGGCGGACGGGUGAGUAAUGUAUGAGCAACCUGCCUUUCAGAGGGGGACAACAGUUGGAAACGACUGCUAAUACCGCGUAACGUAUCGUGAGGGCAUCCUCGUGAUACCAAAGGAGCAAUCCGCUGAAAGAUGGGCUCAUAUCUGAUUAGCUUGUUGGCGGGGUAACGGCCCACCAAGGCGACGAUCAGUAGCCGGACUGAGAGGUUGAACGGCCACAUUGGGACUGAGAUACGGCCCAGACUCCUACGGGAGGCAGCAGUGGGGAAUAUUGGGCAAUGGGCGAAAGCCUCGACCCAGCAACGCCGCGUGAAGGAAGAAGGUCUUCGGAUUGUAAACUUCUUUUAUGAGGGACGAAGGACGUGACGGUACCUCAUGAAUAAGCCACGGCUAACUACGUGCCAGCCGCUGC